rnacentral:tRNA from 1 species
GGGCCCGUAACUCAGCUUGGCCUAGAGUGCCUGGCUUUUAACCAGAUAACUUUUCGGUUAGGUUAAGAAGUCGUGGGUUCAAAUCCCACCGGGCCCG